rnacentral:rRNA from 1 species
GACGAACGCUGGCGGCGUGCUUAACACAUGCAAGUCGAACGGAAAGGCCUCUUUCGGGGGGUACUCGAGUGGCGAACGGGUGAGUAACACGUGAGUAACCUGCCCUUGACUUUGGGAUAACUUCAGGAAACUGGGGCUAAUACCGGAUAGGAGCUCCUGCUGCAUGGUGGGGGUUGGAAAGUUUCGGCGGUUGGGGAUGGACUCGCGGCUUAUCAGCUUGUUGGUGGGGUAGUGGCUUACCAAGGCUUUGACGGGUAGCCGGCCUGAGAGGGUGACCGGCCACCUUGGGACUGAGAUACGGCCCAGACUCCUACGGGAGGCAGCAGUGGGGAAUAUUGCACAAUGGGUGGAAGCCUGAUGCAGCAACGCCGUGUGCGGGAUGACGGCCUUCGGGUUGUAAACCGCUUUCGCUCAUGACGAAGCUUUGUGUGACGGUAGUGGGUAAAGAAGCACCGGCUAACUACGUG